ensembl:lincRNA Gm14255 predicted gene 14255
AACACUGUGGCCAGCUGAAAUCUUGGUGCAGUGAGAGAUUUUUAAGUAUGCUCUCUAGAAAGAGAAGCUGAAUAAAAAAAGACGAAGACGAAGACGCAUCCUUUAGUUUGUUCUAAAGCCUGAUGCAUCUGCUGAGAGCAAGUUUGGAUGGAGCAUUGAGAGCUCAUCCGAGGAGGAUGGAGGACAGCGUUAGCCUGGAAACGGGCCAGGCACUGGGGCAGCUUUUGGCUUUUCUCUUCAAAUAAAUUAGGAAAAAA